rnacentral:rRNA from 1 species
CCUACGGGUGGCAGCAGUAGGGAAUCUUCCACAAUGGGCGAAAGCCUGAUGGAGCAACGCCGCGUGGGUGAAGAAGGUCUUCGGAUCGUAAAACCCUGUUGUUAGGGAAGAAAGUGCGUGAGAGUAACUGUUCACGUCCCGACGCUACCUAACCAGAACGCCACGGCUAACUACGUGCCAGCAGCCGCGGUAAUACGUAGGUGGCAAGCGUUAUCCGGAUUUAGUGGGCGUAAAGGGAACGCAGGUGGUCUUUUAAGUCUGAUGUGAAAGCCUUCGGCUUAACCGGAGUAGCGCAUUGGAGACUGGGAGACUUGAGUGCAGGAGAGGGGAGUGGAACUCCAGGUGUAGCGGUGAAAUGCGUAGAUAUAUGGAGGAACACCAGUGGCGAAGGCGGCUCUCUGGUCUGUAACUGACGCUGAGGUUCGAAAGCGUGGGUAGCAAACAGGAUUAGAUACCCUGGUAGUC